AUUGAACGCUGGCGGCAGGCCUAACACAUGCAAGUCGAGCGGUAACAGAUCUUCGGAUGCUGACGAGUGGCGAACGGGUGAGUAAUACAUCGGAACGUGCCUAGUAGUGGGGGAUAACUACUCGAAAGAGUGGCUAAUACCGCAUGAGAUCUACGGAUGAAAGCAGGGGAUCGCAAGACCUUGUGCUACUAGAGCGGCCGAUGGCAGAUUAGGUAGUUGGUGGGAUAAAAGCUUACCAAGCCGACGAUCUGUAGCUGGUCUGAGAGGACGAUCAGCCACACUGGGACUGAGACACGGCCCAGACUCCUACGGGAGGCAGCAGUGGGGAAUUUUGGACAAUGGGCGCAAGCCUGAUCCAGCAAUGCCGCGUGCAGGAUGAAGGCCUUCGGGUUGUAAACUGCUUUUGUACGGAACGAAAAGCCCUGGGUUAAUACCCUGGGGUCAUGACGGUACCGUAAGAAUAAGCACCGGCUAACUACGUGCCAGCCGCCGCAGUAAUAC
rnacentral:rRNA from 1 species